AAGUCGAGGGGUAACAGGAGGUGCUUGCACUUCGCUGACGACCGGCGCACGGGUGCGUAACGCGUAUACAAUCUACCUUUUGCUGAGGGAUAGCCUUUGGAAACGAAGAUUAAUACCUCAUAGUAUGUAGAAAUGGCAUCAUUUUUAUAUUAAAGGUUACGGCAAAAGAUGAGUAUGCGUUCUAUUAGUUUGUUGGUGUGGUAACGGCACACCAAGACUACGAUAGAUAGGGGCCCUGAGAGGGGGAUCCCCCACACUGGUACUGAGACACGGACCAGACUCCUACGGGAGGCAGCAGUGAGGAAUAUUGGACAAUGGAGGCAACUCUGAUCCAGCCCUGCCGCGUGCAGGAAGACUGGCCCAUGGGGUUGGUAACUGGUUUUUUUUCCGGAAGAAACC
rnacentral:rRNA from 1 species